rnacentral:tRNA from 1 species
GCGUCCGUGGCGAAACUGGGAUACGCGCUGGAUUCAGACUCCAGUGCCCGAAACGGGCAUGCAGGUUCGACUCCUGCCGGACGUA